rnacentral:rRNA from 1 species
UACAGAGGUCUCAAGCGUUGUUCGGAUUCAUUGGGCGUAAAGGGUGCGUAGGCGGCGCGGUAAGUCGGGUGUGAAAUUUCGAGGCUUAACCUCGGAACUGCAUUCGAUACUGCGGUGCUUGAGGACUGGAGAGGAGACUGGAAUUCCUGGUGUAGCGGUGAAAUGCGCAGAUAUCAGGAGGAACACCGGUGGCGAAGGCGGGUCUCUGGGCCGAUACUGACGCUGAGGAGCGAAAGCGUGGGGAGCGAACAGG